GGUGCCACCCCUGCAGAUGAGUCCUCACCUCAAAUUAUUUACACCACUGUCACCAAAAACGAGACACGACAGACUCAACAAGAUGAAUCUGGAUCAUCAAGCUUUACACCGGCUCUCAGUCCCCCUGCUGCCGAAGAGCUGAGCUCUCCAGAGGAGGUUAUUUAUUCACCUGUCCAGAUGGUGCAGUGCAGUGACGCCUAACUUCAUAAUCCAUGCUGGAUACCUGAGAGAGGU